rnacentral:misc_RNA from 1 species
ACAGGGUUCAUUUGGAAAUUCUUGAAUAACUACACCUAAGCUUGAAAUCCCCCUAGUUCUCGUUGUCCUCUCCCAUUUAUGUUUUCCAAAGUGAUACAUGGUUAUUAAAGUCUCCCACUGGUCACUUGGGAUGGUAUUAGAAGCUUGGUCUUGGCAUGUACCGAGGAAAAAAAGGUGUUUGCCUAUUUGCAUUAGCUGAUCGAGGGGUAAAAAGGCAUCGAGGGCCCAAGGCUUUAAUAGGGAUAAGCAAACGGGUGUAUAUGGCAGUUAGCAUAUUUUUACAAGAGCCCCAUUUGCUUUGCUUUGACGAUGGAUUGUCGGGAAUAUGCUUGUCGAUCUUUAUGUUAGGAUCCAAAUUACUAUUGGCCUGGAGAGUUUCUGGGCUUGUGGAAGUGAAAGAAGGUGAGACUAAAG